CAGCAGCCACGGUAAUACGAAGGGGGCUAGCGUUGUUCGGAAUUACUGGGCGUAAAGCGCACGUAGGCGGCUUGGUAAGUUAGAGGUGAAAGCCCGGAGCUCAACUCCGGAAUUGCCUUUAAGACUGCCGAGCUAGUAGGUGAGAGAGGUAAGUGGAAUUCCGAGUGUAGAGGUGAAAUUCGUAGAUAUUCGGAAGAACACCAGUGGCGAAGGCGGCUUACUGGCUCAUUCUAGACGCUGAGGUGCGAAAGCGUGGGGAGCAAACAGGAUUAGAUACCCGUGUAGUCCCUGUCUCUUAUAC
rnacentral:rRNA from 1 species